rnacentral:rRNA from 1 species
UACGGAGGGGGUUAGCGUUGUUCGGAAUUACUGGGCGUAAAGCGCGCGUAGGCGGGUUGUUAAGUUAGAGGUGAAAUCCCGGGGCUCAACCCCGGAACUGCCUUUAAUACUGGCAACCUAGAGUUCGAGAGAGGUGAGUGGAAUUCCGAGUGUAGAGGUGAAAUUCGUAGAUAUUCGGAGGAACACCAGUGGCGAAGGCGGCUCACUGGCUCGAUACUGACGCUGAGGUGCGAAAGUGUGGGGAGCAAACAGG